rnacentral:pre_miRNA from 11 species
AUUUCGUAAUGAAAGACCCCCGAAGGGAGACCCUCACUCAAAUCUCGGGAAUAGCGCGCACCCAGUGAGGCACCAAGACCG